rnacentral:rRNA from 1 species
CUCAGUUCGGAUCGGAGUCUGCAACCCGACUCCGUGAAGCUGGAUUCGCUAGUAAUCGCGCAUCAGCCAUGGCGCGGUGAAUACGUUCCCGGGCCUUGUACACACCGCCCGUCAAGCCAUGGGAGCCGGGGGUGCUUGAAGUGCGUCGCCGCAAGGCGCGCCCUAGAGCAAAACCGGUGACUGGGGCUAAGUCGUAACAAGGUAGC